GACGAACGCUGGCGGCGUGCUUAACACAUGCAAGUCGAACGGAAAGGCCUGCUUUCCCUUGUGGAUUGCGGGUACUCGAGUGGCGAACGGGUGAGUAACACGUGAGUGAUCUGCCCCCAACUUGGGUAUAAGCCUGGGAAACUGGGUCUAAUUCCCGAUAGGACUGCAGGGUGGUGCCUGUGGUGGAAAACGAUUUUCUAGUGGUUGGGGAUGAGCUCGCGGCCUAUCAGCUUGUUGGUGGGGUAAUGGCCUACCAAGGCGGCGACGGGUAGCCGGCCUGAGAGGGUGGACGGCCACAUUGGGACUGAGAUACGGGCCAGACUCCUACGGGAGGCAGCAGUGGGGAAUAUUGCACAAUGGGCGGAAGCCUGAUGCAGCGACGCCGCGUGGGGGAUGACGGCCUUCGGGUUGUAAACUCCUUUCGACCGCGAGGAAGCCACCUGGUUGGAAGGGUGGUGACGGUAGUGGUAGAAGAAGCACCGGCUAACUACGUG
rnacentral:rRNA from 1 species